rnacentral:rRNA from 1 species
AGUGAACGCUGGCGGUAGGCCUAACACAUGCAAGUCGAACGGCAGCACAGUAAUAGCUUGCUCUUACGGGUGGCGAGUGGCGGACGGGUGAGGAAUACAUCGGAAUCUACUUUUUCGUGGGGGAUAACGUAGGGAAACUUACGCUAAUACCGCAUACGACCUACGGGUGAAAGCAGGGGAUCUUCGGACCUUGCGCGAUUGAAUGAGCCGAUGUCGGAUUAGCUAGUUGGCGGGGUAAAGGCCCACCAAGGCGACGAUCCGUAGCUGGUCUGAGAGGAUGAUCAGCCACACUGGAACUGAGACACGGUCCAGACUCCUACGGGAGGCAGCAGUGGGGAAUAUUGGACAAUGGGCGCAAGCCUGAUCCGGCCAUACCGCGUGGGUGAAGAAGGCCUUCGGGUUGUAAAGCCCUUUUGUUGGGAAAGAAAAGCAGCAGGUUAAUACCCCGCUGUUCUGACGGUACCCAAAGAAUAAGCACCGGCUAACUUCGUG